rnacentral:lncRNA from 1 species
AUGGAGUUGGUGCGGUCCACCUUGCUCACUAAGCAUGGAAAGUCUGAAGGUCAUAAUCCACUCCAUUCUGCUCUAUGGUUUGCCAGAGAAGCAAUCACUGGCCUCUUACCUGGAUGGUCUCCAAAAGGUCUAAACCAGUCCUUUGAUAGGCACCAGGGAGAAAAACAGAUGUGAUCUCAGCUUUCAACAAUUAAGAAAUCAUCCAAGUAAGUGUAAAAUUACAAAUGAUGGAAAUAUUCAUCCCCUUUCCCCAAUUCUUUUUGGUCCCAUUAUUCAAACCUC